AUGCACGCUGGCGGCGUGCCUAAUACAUGCAAGUCGAGCGAACAGACGAGGAGCUUGCUCCUCUGACGUUAGCGGCGGACGGGUGAGUAACACGUGGAUAACCUACCUAUAAGACUGGGAUAACUUCGGGAAACCGGAGCUAAUACCGGAUAAUAUAUUGAACCGCAUGGUUCAAUAGUUAAAGACGGUUUUGCUGUCACUUAUAGAUGGAUCCUCGCCGCAUUAGCUAGUUGGUAAGGUAACGGCUUACCAAGGCAACGAUGCGUAGCCGACCUGAGAGGGUGAUCGGCCACACUGGAACUGAGACACGGUCCAGACUCCUACGGGAGGCAGCAGUAGGGAAUCUUCCGCAAUGGGCGAAAGCCUGACGGAGCAACGCCGCGUGAGUGAUGAAGGUCUUCGGAUCGUAAAACUCUGUUAUUAGGGAAGAACAAAUGUGUAAGUAACUAUGCACGUCUUGACGGUACCUAAUCAGAAAGCCACGGCUAACUACGUG
rnacentral:rRNA from 1 species